CUCGGCUGACGGCUCAGUAACACGUGGAUAAUCUGCCCUUAGGUGGAGGAUAAUCUCGGGAAACUGAGGAUAAUACUCCAUAGAUCUAGGAUGCUGGAAUGCAUCUAGAUUGAAAGCUCCGGCGCCUAAGGAUGAGUCUGCGGACUAUCAGGUUGUAGUCAGGGUAAAGACCUGACUAGCCUAUGACGGAUACGGGUUGUGAGAGCAAUAACCCGGAGACGAUAUCUGAGACACGAUAUCGGGCCCUACGGGGCGCAGCAGGCGCGAAAACUUCACACUGUGCGAAAGCGCGAUGAGGGAAUCCCAAGUGUUUGCUCGUAAGAGUAAACUGUUUCUUUGUUUAAAACGCAGAGAGAGUAAGGGCUGGGUAAGACGGGUGCCAGCCGCCGCGGUAAUACCUGCAGCUCAAGUGGUGAUCAUUAUUAUUGGGCCUAAAACGUCCGUAGCCGGUUUGGUAAAUGCCUGGGUAAAUCGUGUAGCUUAACUAUACGAAUUCCGGGUAGACUGCCAAACUUGAGACCGGGAGAGGCUAGAGGUACUCCUGGGGUAGAGGUGAAAUCUGUAAUCCUAGGGGGACCACCAGUGGCGAAGGCGUCUAGCUAGAACGGGCCUGACGGUCAGGGACGAAGCCCUGGGGCGCGAACCGGAUUAGAUACCC
rnacentral:rRNA from 1 species